GAACCAAAAACUGGAACGAUGGAGCUCUACAUAUUCCUUCUACUAACAGGUAUUUAAAUCGUUUACGUUGUGAGGAUAUUUCAGCCAGUCAGUAUGCUCAUAUCAUAGUGUGUAACUAUGAAAAGUAUUUUCAUACUUAAGACAAUUUGACCAGGUGCUCCAGCAUCCAUGGACUGUUUGAGAGCUGAUAAGCAGAUGUUUCAUGGUUAGAGUUUAGUUGUGGUAGUUGGUGUCGGGUGAGAAAAUAAAUAUGCUAAUAAGAGAGAAAGAAUGUAAGUCACAUGAGAGAAAUAAAGAGUAAUGUUAAUUAGGUGAAACAUUCUGACAAAACUUUAAAAAUAUUAGCCUGUACUGAUUUGAAAGUCACUUAUGAUCUUGUGCCAUUUUUCUCUGCAGGACUGGUUGGAACAGCAUAUACUGGCAAUGGUAACAUCCAGACUCCAAUCAUUCACAAUCCAGAAACACUGUUUAAAUUGAUGUGCAUUUUUACUAGACUAUUGUAAUACGAGAUACAAAGUCCAUUCACAGCAGCAUCCAUUUCAAUAAAUUGACUUUUGAUCAUGUAAUACCAUCGACCAAUAACAUUUUUCUCCUUUAAAGACGCAACCACAAACGGCAUUGAAUCCUCAACUGUGAGACAAAACUACAAUGACACCUCACCAACCCAACAAGCAAUCAGCACUGAACCCUCACCCACGACACCAAACAACAACAACAUUGUCUCGUCAAACACACCACCAAUCGACACUGGAACCUCACGUGUGACGUCAAACAACAACAUUGUCUCGUCGAACACACCACCAAUCGACACUGGAACCUCAAGUGUGACGUCAAACAACAACAUUGUCUCGACGAACACACCACCAAUCGACACUGGAACCUCACGUGUGACGUCAAACAACAACAUUGUCUCGUCGAACACACCACCAAUCGACACUGGAACCUCAAGUGUGACGUCAAACAACAACAUUGUCUCGUCGAACACACCACCAAUCGACACUGGAACCUCACGUGUGACGUCAAACAACAACAUUGUCUCGUCGAACACACCACCAAUCGACACUGGAACCUCACGUGUGACGUCAAACAACAACAUUGUCUCGUCGAACACACCACCAAUCGACACUGGAACCUCACGUGUGACGUCAAACAACAACAUUGUCUCGUCGAACACACCACCAAUCGACACUGGAACCUCACGUGUGACGUCAAACAACAACAUUGUCUCGUCGAACACACCACCAAUCGACACUGGAACCUCACGUGUGACGUCAAACAACAACAUUGUCUCGUCGAACACACCACCAAUCGACACUGGAACCUCACGUGUGACGUCAAACAACAACAUUGUCUCGUCGAACACACCACCAAUCGACACUGGAACCUCACGUGUGACGUCAAACAACAACAUUGUCUCGUCGAACACACCACCAAUCGACACUGGAACCUCACGUGUGACGUCAAACAACAACAUUGUCUCGUCGAACACACCACCAAUCGACACUGGAACCUCACGUGUGACGUCAAACAACAACAUUGUCUCGUCGAACACACCACCAAUCGACACUGGAACCUCACGUGUGACGUCAAACAACAACAUUGUCUCGUCGAACACACCACCAAUCGACACUGGAACCUCACGUGUGACGUCAAACAACAACAUUGUCUCGUCGAACACACCACCAAUCGACACUGGAACCUCACGUGUGACGUCAAACAACAACAUUGUCUCGUCGAACACACCACCAAUCGACACUGGAACCUCACGUGUGACGUCAAACAACAACAUUGUCUCGUCGAACACACCAACAAUCGACACUGGAACCUCACGUGUGACGUCAAACAACAACAUUGUCUCGUCGAACACACCACCAAUCGACACUGGAACCUCACGUGUGACGUCAAACAACAACAUUGUCUCGUCGAACACACCACCAAUCGACACUGGAACCUCACGUGUGACGUCAAACAACAAUGGAACGUCAACACAGCCACCCAUAUCAUCAACAGGUACAACAACUGGAACAUCAGCUACAGUUAAUAUAACUGCUGCAACCCCAAUAACCACCGUUGCCACCACAACAACCACCGCUGCCACCACAACAACCACCGCUGCCACCACAACAACCACAACAGCUGCACCGCCGAAACCCGAAGUUCGGCUGAGUUUCAAAAUAACAGAAACUUAUACAAAAGAGCUUGAUGACAAAUCGUCACCUAAAUUUCUGAGUCUAAAACAGGACACAGCCAAAGCGCUUGAUGGGGUCUAUAAAGUUAGAUUUGGACCUUCCUUCAAUCACACAGAAGUCAACGGCUUCAGUCCAGGGUCCAUUAACGUUGACGCUUCUCUGAUAUUCAACAACGUGUCCAAUCUAUCGAAUGACACUUCUGCAGCUGCAGCUACGGCUUUAGUAGAGGCUGUUUCCAGCUCAAAUUUUUCUUUGUCUAUAAACUCAUCAUCAAUUACUGCAGCUGGUAAGCUUAUUAUUAAUGAUCAAUAAAAAGAAACCUGCGAAACAAAGUGUAAUAAAUUAGAUUUGGAAAGAGAUUUAACAUCACUUCUUGUUACUUUCAGUUUUUACACCUACUUUACCUCCAGUCACGACAACAACAACAACAACAACAGGUAUCAUCAACAUAAACAGUCCAUGAAACAUUAACUCUGCUCAGUUUGAUGGUUUAAAUACUGAAUUAGGUGUAAUUAACUUCACAUUUUGUGUUUUGAUGUCACAAUGACCAGAUUUCUAUUAUCACGUGAUUUACAUAUGUUAGAGGAAAUCUAAAUAAAUUUGCACCUUGCAGCAACGACCAACUCCACCGCCCAGCCGCCGCCACCUACCAACUCCACCACACAGCCGCCUCCACCCACCAACUCCACCACACAGCCGCCUCCACCCAUCAACUCCACCACACAGCCAUCGCCACCCACCAACUCAACCACCCAGCCGUCGCCACCCACCAACUCAACCACCCAGCCGCCUCCACCCACCAACUCCACCACACAGCCGCCUCCACCCACCAACUCCACCACACAGCCGCUUCCACCCACCAACUCCACCACACAGCCGCUUCCACCCACCAACUCCACCACACAGCCGCUUCCACCCACCAACUCCACCACACAGCCGCUUCCACCCACCAACUCAACCACACAGCCGCUAUCCACCAUACCAACACCAACAACUGUCACCACGGUUACUACACCCACUACCACCCCAGCAACUACAACAGCUCCGACCGUGGGGACAGUGUUUCGUUUGCUUUUUAGUCUACAGCAACAAUUUUCAUCAGCGCUUUCGACCCCAGGUUCACCACAGUUCACCGAACUAAAGGGUAACAUAGAGACACAGCUUACUCCAGUCUAUGCACUAAAGUAUGGAAGACUCUUCGUUCGAUUCAUUGUCUUUGGCUUCAGUCCAGGAUCUGUUGUGGUAAACUCUACUGUGGAACUCAACGAUACCACGACAAAUGCCACUGAUGUAGCUACAACUUUACAGGCUGCUGUUACCAGCGGGAAUCUUACCCUCAAUAUCAGCGCAUCAUCUAUAAAUGCAACUUUUGUCCCAGCUCCACCAGCUACAACUACAACUACACCAGUGGUGAUUACAUCUGCAUUCCCAGGCAACUCAACCGUACAGCCGACAACAGCGGCCAACGUCACCUCGCUGCCGCCAACAACGGCCAACGUCACCUCGCUGCCGCCAACAACGGCCAACGUCAGCACGGCGGCGCCGACGACAGCGGCCAACGUCACCUCACCAACACCAACAAAUGUCACCACGGUUACUACCCCCACUACCCCCCCAGCAACUACAACAGCUCCGACCGUGGGGAGAGUGUUUCUUUUGUUUUUUAGUCUACAGCAACAAUUUUCAUCAGCGCUUUCGACCCAAGGUUCACCAGAGUUCACCCAACUAAAGAGUAACAUAGAGUCACAGCUUACUCCAGUCUAUGCACGAAAGUAUGGAAGACUCUUCGUUCGAUUCUUUGUCUUUGCCUUCAGUUCAGGAUCUGUUGUGGUAAACUCUACUGUGGAACUCAACGAUACCACGACAAAUGCCACUGAUGUGGCUGCAACUUUACAGGCUGCUGUUACCAGCGGGAAUCUUACCCUCAAUAUCAGCGCGUCAUCUAUAAAUGCAACUCUUGUCUUAACUACAACUACAACUGCACCAGUGGUGACUACAACUGCAUUGCCAGGCACCUCCACUACACUGGCGAGUGCCACGACGCCCACCGCCACCACAACCACCACCGCACCGGCGAGUGCCACGACAUCCACCACCACUGCUGCUUCAACUGUAGCUUCCACAACAACACCUGCUCCCACCACCACCACCCCCAAUACAAAUGCUCCUUCACCCAGUGAAGGAUUCCUUUUCUUUAAAUUUAGCCUCAACCAAAUCUUCACCUCAGACCUGGCUGAUAAUACCUCAGCUGGUUAUCAGGCCCUGGCUGGAAAAGUGGUCACAGAGUUAAACAGAGUGGGACAACUGCUGUACCCAUCUUUCCGUCGCUCCCGGGUUAAUUACUUCCUGAGUGGAUCAGUAGUAGGCAACACAACUCUUGUCUUUGACAAUCAGUCCUCAACUCCUGCUGCAAGCAACGCGUCUAAUGCUUUUGCUCAACAACUUUUGAACAGCACCGUCUUGAACUUCAUCCCAGGCAGCUUCUCUGCAAAUUCAUCAAGCAGCCUUUGGUCCACUUUUGGUUCAUUGUUGGCCCUCUGUCUAACACUAUUCACUAUGGGACAGCUGCUGACGGACUUCUAAUCAGUGGCCAAGGAAACUGACUGACUAAAUACACUGGUGAAAGCUACUGACCAAGUGUGGGAGGACAUGCCCAGUAACCAAAAUCAAGUUUGCACUAUGAAAUUUACCAGUUCAAUACAUUGUGGUAAAUAGAUGUGCCAAGAGUCCCACACUAAGACAUUUACUCAGGGUUUUAAGAUCUAAAUUUCUCUUAGACACUUGCCUUUUAAUAAGUACAUAUAAUGGUAAUGAAGAAUAUGUUAUCUAAAUGCCUAAUAUUUUGUUUUUCAUUGGCAUUAAUAUUUAAAAAUAUAAGGACAUGAUUAUAAAAACAUGAUAAGUAUUUAUAUAUUUACACAGUUUGGCAGCAUCCACUUUACAUCCACAAACACAGUUGCUGUUUGGUAAAAUGCAUAUAAAAAAACAAUUACAGUUUGCUGCAAUUAAUCACGUUUCACAGAAUCAUCUGAGAUCUAAACACGAGGCAGUUGAUCUGCCUUUUAUUGAGAUGCUGACUGCUAUUAUCAUACUGUCAAAUAAGAGUACGAUGAUACAACAAAUUGUUGAUUUUAAUAUAUUUGAUGAAAGUCCUAAAUGUAUUGUAUGUUGUUUGAAAAGGGAAAUGAAACAAAUGUCAAUCAGAAAAUUAUUAAAAUGUUUACCCAUAAAAUAGCUUUGUUGGGUUUUUACUACCUACAUUUCCAAGGCUUUAUUUGACUUUUUUUUUAAUAAAGAUUAAUAGAGUAAUAGGGUGGGGUAUUCU
ensembl:lncRNA